UGAUCAUGCACCACGUCUCGCCUGACGAGCGCCG
rnacentral:sRNA from 1 species